GACGAACGCUGGCGGCGUGCUUAACACAUGCAAGUCGAACGAUGAAGCCCAGCUUGCUGGGUGGAUUAGUGGCGAACGGGUGAGUAACACGUGAGUAACCUGCCCUUAACUCUGGGAUAAGCCUGGGAAACUGGGUCUAAUACCGGAUAGGAGCGUCCACCGCAUGGUGGGUGUUGGAAAGAUUUAUCGGUUUUGGAUGGACUCGCGGCCUAUCAGCUUGUUGGUGAGGUAAUGGCUCACCAAGGCGACGACGGGUAGCCGGCCUGAGAGGGUGACCGGCCACACUGGGACUGAGACACGGCCCAGACUCCUACGGGAGGCAGCAGUGGGGAAUAUUGCACAAUGGGCGCAAGCCUGAUGCAGCGACGCCGCGUGAGGGAUGACGGCCUUCGGGUUGUAAACCUCUUUCAGUAGGGAAGAAGCGAAAGUGACGGUACCUGCAGAAGAAGCACCGGCUAACUACGUG
rnacentral:rRNA from 1 species